rnacentral:rRNA from 1 species
GACGAGUGGCGCACGGGUGCGUAACGCGUAUAGAACCUACCCUGUACAGGGGGAUAGCCCAGAGAAAUUUGGAUUAAUACCCCGUGGUAACUAUAAAUGGCAUCAUUUAUAGUUUAAAGUUUUCGGACGGUACAGGAUGGCUAUGCGUCCUAUUAGUUAGAUGGUGAGGUAACGGCUCACCAUGGCAUCGAUAGGUAGGGGCCCUGAGAGGGGGAUCCCCCACACUGGUACUGAGACACGGACCAGACUCCUACGGGAGGCAGCAGUGAGGAAUAUUGGACAAUGGGCGUAAGCCUGAUCCAGCCAUGCCGCGUGCAGGAAGACGGCCCUAUGGGUUGUAAACUGCUUUUAUACGGGAAGAAUAAGGGACACGAGUGUCCUGGUGACGGUACCGUAAGAAUAAGGACCGGCUAACUCCGUGCCAGCAGCCGCGGUAAUACGGAGGGUCCGAGCGUUAUCCGGAAUUAUUGGGUUUAAAGGGUCCGCAGGCGGGCAAUUAAGUCAGGGGUGAAAUGGUACGGCUCAACCGUAGCACUGCCCUUGAUACUGGUUGUCUUGAGUCAUAGUGAAGUGGCCGGAAUAUGUAGUGUAGCGGUGGAAUGCAUAGAUAUUACAUAGAACACCGAUUGCGAAGGCAGGUCACUAACUAUCGACUGACGCUGAUGGACGAAAGCGUGGGGAGCGAACGGGAUUAGAUACCCCGGUAGUCCACGCCGUAAACGAUGGAUACUAGCUGUCCGCUGCCUUGAGCAGUGGGCGGCCCAGCGAAAGUGAUAAGUAUCCCACCUGGGGAGUACGUUCGCAAGAAUGAAACUCAAAGGAAUUGACGGGGGCCCGCACAAGCGGUGGAGCAUGUGGUUUAAUUCGAUGAUACGCGAGGAACCUUACCAGGGCUUAAAUGCAUAAUGACAGGUCUAGAGAUAGACUUUUCUUCGGACAUUUUGCAAGGUGCUGCAUGGUUGUCGUCAGCUCGUGCCGUGAGGUGUCAGGUUAAGUCCUAUAACGAGCGCAACCCCUGCCGUCAGUUGCCAGCAAGUAAAGUUGGGGACUCUGACGGGACUGCCG